rnacentral:rRNA from 1 species
AUUCCAGCUCCAAUAGCGUAUAUUAAAGUUGUUGCAGUUAAAAAGCUCGUAGUUGAAUUUCUGGCGCCACCGGCGGUCCUUCCUCAGUGUUGCGACUUGUGUGUGUGGUGCCAUUUUUGUCGGGUGCGGUGGGGCGCUUGAUUGUGUCCUGCCGUGUUAAGCCCGGCAUCGAUUACUGUGAACAAAUUAGAGUGUUUAAAGCGGGCUGUUAGCUUGAAUACAUUAGCAUGGAAUAAUGAUAUAGGACUUUGGGACUAUAUUCGUUGGUUGAGUACCGAAGUAAUGAUUAAUAGGGAUAGUUGGGGGUAUUCAUAUUCAAACGACAGAGGUGAAAUUCUUGGACCGUUUGAAGACGAACUAAGGCGAAAGCAUUUGCCAAGAAUGUUUUCAUUG